UACGGAGGGUGCAAGCGUUACCCGGAUUCACUGGGUUUAAAGGGUGCGUAGGCGGGCAGGUAAGUCCGUGGUGAAAUCUCUGAGCUUAACUCAGAAACUGCCAUGGAUACUAUUUGUCUUGAAUAUUGUGGAGGUAAGCGGAAUAUGUCAUGUAGCGGUGGAAUGCUUAGAUAUGACAUAGAACACCAAUUGCGAAGGCAGCUUACUACACAGUUAUUGACGCUGAGGCACGAAAGCGUGGGGAUCAAACAGG
rnacentral:rRNA from 1 species